CGUAGGGUGCAAGCGUUAAUCGGAAUUACUGGGCGUAAAGCGUGCGCAGGCGGUGAUGUAAGACAGAUGUGAAAUCCCCGGGCUCAACCUGGGAACUGCAUUUGUGACUGCAUCGCUGGAGUGCGGCAGAGGGGGGAUGGAAUUCCGCGUGUAGCAGUGAAAUGCGUAGAUAUGCGGAGGAACACCGAUGGCGAAGGCAAUCCCCUGGGCCUGCACUGACGCUCAUGCACGAAAGCGUGGGGAGCAAACAGGAUUAGAUACCCUGGUAGUCCACGCCCUAAACGAUGUCAACUGGUUGUUGGGUCUUCACUGACUCAGUAACGAAGCUAACGCGUGAAGUUGACCGCCUGGGGAGUACGGCCGCAAGGUUG
rnacentral:rRNA from 1 species